AUUCCAUAAUGAGGAUAGUCUUCAAUGUAAUUUUCGAAUCUUUCCCAUGCUUCAGUAAAUGAUUCAUCUUGUUGUUGUUGGAAACUUGAAAUCUUCCCACACAAAGCAU
rnacentral:snoRNA from 1 species